rnacentral:rRNA from 1 species
UACGUAUGGUGCGAGCGUUGUUCGGAAUUAUUGGGCGUAAAGGGCGUGUAGGCGGGGAACUAAGUGGGGAGUGAAACCUCCGGGCUCAACUCGGAGCCUGCUUCCCAAACUGGUUCUCUGGAGUACGGAAGGGGCAUGGGGAAUUGGCAGUGUAGCGGUGAAAUGUGUAGAUAUUGCCAGGAACACCGGUGGCGAAGGCGCCAUGCUGGGCCGUAACUGACGCUGAGGCGAGAAAGCGUGGGGAGCAAACAGG